rnacentral:rRNA from 1 species
ACGUAUUCUGAAAGGGAUACUUCUUCGGACAAUAUACAAGGUGCUGCAUGGUUGUCGUCAGCUCGUGCCGUGAGGUGUCGGGUUAAGUCCCAUAACGAGCGCAACCCCUAUCAUUAGUGCCAUCAGGUCAAGCUGGGGACUCUAAUGAAACUGCCUACGCAAGUAGUGAGGAAGGUGGGGAUGACGUCAAAUCAGCACGGCCCUUACGUCCAGGGCUACACACGUGCUACAAUGGCCGGUACAAAGGGCAGCUACCUGGUGACAGGAUGCUAAUCUCAAAAGCCGGUCUCAGUUCGGAUCGGAGUCUGCAACCCGACUCCGUGAAGCUGGAAUCGCUGGUAAUCGCGCAUCAGCCAUGGCGCGGUGAAUACGUUCCCGGGCCUU